CUCUUGUGGCCUGUCAGAGGACAAUGUGACAGUUCAGUGGUGAGGGCGAUCCUGAUCAUCACUCCGUCGUGAACCUAGAGAAGGAGGAAGUGGUGGCCCGCGUUCUUGUUGUCACGACGGGGUGAUGUUCGACUUCAUGGACGAAAGUGGCCCCUUGCCCUUUAACUAGUCGAGGGUCCCUGACCUGGUACACUUUGGUCUCCCCCUUUUCCUUUGCCCUGGAUCUGUUCUAACACCCAUUCUUGUAGGGGCAUUGCUCCAUCGCGGUUUCUCUCCCCCUUCCUAGGGACGCCGCCAUUAAGGCAGAGAGGAAGAGGCAGCGGGACGCAGAGGAGGCGUCCAUGAUAGCAUGGAAGAAACAGAGUUACUGGAGGAAAGGGGAAAAGAAGAGGGAGCGCUUGACCCGUGUCGGGUCAGGGAGGAGCAUCACCCUGCUGACCAAUACGAAAUAUAUGACCUCCUCAACUUCCAGUGGGGUGCAGCGUUCUGUAUCGAAGAGCGUCUCUCGUCGUCCUGAUGAUGCGGCGACCAGCUCCGGCGCCCUUCAAAAAGCGGACGCUGAUGCCGGGGUCGGUGCCUCCGUCGUGCUGGUGGGGCCUUUCGAGGGGGAACCGGUGCUGCCUGGUCUUCUUCUUCUCCCACUGCGGCGACUGGGGCUGGUGAGGCAUCACUUCUUCCUGAGGCACCAGACUCGCAAGGGGGCCCGUCCGGUGGCCGUCUUGCCCUCUGUUUCUCACGUGCCCGUGGCCUUGACG
rnacentral:misc_RNA from 1 species